UGCCCCAUGGCUUAGUUGGUUACGGCGUCCGACUGUUACAAGCUCCUGGUCAAGGAAGACAUCGGAAGAUCGAGAGUUCGAGUCUCUCUGGGGCAG
rnacentral:tRNA from 1 species